AGAGUUUGAUCAUGGCUCAGAUUGAACGCUGGCGGAAUGCUUUACACAUGCAAGUCGAGCGGCAGCGCGGGGCAACCUGGCGGCGAGCGGCGAACGGGUGAGUAACACAUCGGAACGUACCCAGUUGUGGGGGAUAGCCCGGCGAAAGCCGGAUUAAUACCGCAUACGACCUGAGGGUGAAAGGGGGGGAUCGCAAGACCUCUCGCAGUUGGAGCGGCCGAUGGCGGAUUAGCUAGUUGGUGGGGUAAAGGCCUACCAAGGCGACGAUCCGUAGCGGGUCUGAGAGGACGGCCCGCCACACUGGAACUGAGACACGGUCCAGACUCCUACGGGAGGCAGCAGUGGGGAAUUUUGGACAAUGGGGGCAACCCUGAUCCAGCCAUUCCGCGUGAGUGAAGAAGGCCUUCGGGUUGUAAAGCUCUUUCGGCAGGAACGAAACGGUGGAGGCUAAUACCUUUCAUCAAUGACGGUACCUGAAGAAGAAGCACCGGCUAACUACGUGCCAGCAGCCGCGGUAAUACGUAGGGUGCGAGCGUUAAUCGGAAUUACUGGGCGUAAAGCGCAUGCAGGUGGUUUGUUAAGUCAGAUGUGAAAGCCCGGGGCUCAACCUCGGAAUAGCAUUUGAAACUGGCAGACUAGAGUACUGUAGAGGGGGGUAGAAUUUCAGGUGUAGCGGUGAAAUGCGUAGAGAUCUGAAGGAAUACCGGUGGCGAAGGCGGCCCCCUGGACAGAUACUGACACUCAGAUGCGAAAGCGUGGGGAGCAAACAGGAUUAGAUACCCUGGUAGUCCACGCCGUAAACGAUGUCUACUUGGAGGUUGUGGCCUUGAGCCGUGGCUUUCGGAGCUAACGCGUUAAGUAGACCGCCUGGGGAGUACGGUCGCAAGAUUAAAACUCAAAUGAAUUGACGGGGGCCCGCACAAGCGGUGGAGCAUGUGGUUUAAUUCGAUGCAACGCGAAGAACCUUACCUACUCUUGACAUCCAGAGAACUUUCCAGAGAUGGAUUGGUGCCUUCGGGAACUCUGAGACAGGUGCUGCAUGGCUGUCGUCAGCUCGUGUUGUGAAAUGUUGGGUUAAGUCCCGCAACGAGCGCAACCCUUAUCCUUGUUUGCCAGCGAGUAAUGUCGGGAACUCCAGGGAGACUGCCGGUGAUAAACCGGAGGAAGGUGGGGACGACGUCAAGUCAUCAUGGCCCUUACGAGUAGGGCUACACACGUGCUACAAUGGCGCAUACAGAGGGCAGCAAGCUAGCGAUAGUGAGCGAAUCCCAAAAAGUGCGUCGUAGUCCGGAUUGGAGUCUGCAACUCGACUCCAUGAAGUCGGAAUCGCUAGUAAUCGUGGAUCAGAAUGCCACGGUGAAUACGUUCCCGGGCCUUGUACACACCGCCCGUCACACCAUGGGAGUGGGCUGCAAAAGAAGUAGGUAGUUUAACCUUCGGGAGGACGCUUACCACUUUG
rnacentral:rRNA from 1 species